rnacentral:rRNA from 1 species
UACGUAGGGGGCGAGCGUUGUCCGGAAUCAUUGGGCGUAAAGAGCGUGUAGGCGGUUCGGUAAGUCGGCUGUGAAAGUCCAGGGCUCAACCCUGGGAUGCCGGUCGAUACUGCCGGACUAGAGUUCGGAAGAGGCGAGUGGAAUUCCCGGUGUAGCGGUGAAAUGCGCAGAUAUCGGGAGGAACACCUAUGGCGAAGGCAGCUCGCUGGGACGUUACUGACGCUGAGACGCGAAAGCGUGGGGAGCAAACAGG